rnacentral:rRNA from 1 species
AUUGAACGCUGGCGGCAGGCCUAACACAUGCAAGUCGAACGAGUGGCGGACGGGUGAGUAAUGCCUGGGAAACUGCCUGAUGGAGGGGGAUAACUACUGGAAACGGUCGCUAAUACCGCAUACCAUCAGAUGUGCCCAGAUGGGAUUAGCUAGUUGGCGGGGUAACGGCUCACCAAGGCGACGAUCCCUAGCUGGUCUGAUAGGAUGACGGGCCAGAGUGGAAGUGAGAAACGGUCCAGACUCCUACGGAAGGAAGCAGUGGGGAAUAUUGCACAGUGGGCGAAAGCCUGAUGCAGCCAUGCCGCGUGUAUAAAGAGGGCCUUCGGGUUGUAAAAUACGUUCAGCGGGGAGGCGUUACCCGCAGAAGAAGCACCGGCUAACUCCGUGCCAGCAGCCGCGGUAAUAC